GUCCACGCCCUAACUAUGAUUACUCGACAUUUGUGAUACACAAUAAGUGUCUGAGCGAAAGCAUUAAGUAAUCCACCUGGGAAGUACGUCCGCAAGGAUGAAACUCAAAGGAAUUGGCGGGGUCCGCACAAGCGGUGGAGCAUGUGGUUUAAUUCGAUGAUACGCGAGGAACCUUACCUGGGCUAGAAUGCUGGGAGACCGUGGGUGAAAGCCCAUUUUGUAGCAAUACACUGCCAGUAAGGUGCUGCAUGGCUGUCGU
rnacentral:rRNA from 1 species